ACAAUAAAAAAAGCAAAGAAUGUGGAGAUUCCAAUUUUAGCGAAGAAUUUAAAAUAUUUUACUAUAUCCUAUACACUGUGCAAGCCGUUGCAUCAAUAUCCGCCAUGUUUCUAAAAUGGGUAGAAUUAUCUCCCCACGAAUCGUUAAUAUUGAAUAAUAUAAUGAGAAACACUUUUAAUGAAAAAUUAAUUAAUUGCUACCAACCAAUUCUGCAGGCUUUUAACAAAUGGGCAGAAAUUCAAGAUAUUGAUGGUGCUACUGGUUUCACAAAAAUUCCAUACGAAAUUAAAUUGUUAGAAAAAACAGAAAAAAUUAUUAAACGGAUAUUAAUAAUUAUGGAUGUAUCGAUAAAUCAAAUAAA